CCUACGGGUGGCAGCAGUGGGGAAUAUUGCACAAUGGGGGAAACCCUGAUGCAGCGACGCCGCGUGAAUGAAGAAGGAUUUCGGUAUGUAAAGCUCUAUUAGCAGGGAAGAGAAUGACGGUACCUGAUUUAGAAGCGCCGGCUAACUCCGCGCCAGCAGACGCGGUAAUACGUAGGGGGCAAGCGUUAUCCGGAUUUACUGGGUGUAAAGGGAGCGUAGACGGCAACACAAGUCUGGUGGGAAAUGCCGGGGCUUAACCCCGGAACUGCUUUGGAAACUGUGCAGCUAGAGUGCAGGAGAGGUAAUUGGAAUUCCUAGUGUAGCGGUGAAAUGCGUAGAUAUUAGGAGGAACACCAGUGGCGAAGGCGGCUUACUGGACUAUAACUGACGUUGAGGCUCGAAAGCGUGGGGAGCAAACAGGAUUAGAUACCCUAGUAGUC
rnacentral:rRNA from 1 species